AGGACGAACGCUGGCGGCGUGCUUAACACAUGCAAGUCGAGCCGAAAGGCCCUUCGGGGUACUCGAGCGGCGAACGGGUGAGUAACACGUGAGCAACCUGCCCUUAGCUUCGGGAUAGCUCCGGGAAACCGGAAUUAAUACCGAAUAUGACUGCGGCUGACAUCAGCCACGGUGGAAAGUUUUUCGGCUAGGGAUGGACUCGCGGCCUAUCAGCUAGUUGGUGAGGUAACGGCCCACCAAGGCGACGACGGGUA
rnacentral:rRNA from 1 species